ensembl:lncRNA
CCAUUUCUGUUCUGCACGGGGCCUGCUCAGCUGGACACUUUAUACAAAAAAUCUAUGCAUUAUUUUGAAUCAAGCUCAAAAGGAGGCCUUGCUACCUGAAGGUACAGACACUCAGACGUUCAGCCUUUCACAGUUGAAGUGCUUUUACAGACUGUCGUCGAUGGAGUAGCCACCAUGGAGGUUAAGGAGCCCGUAUGAGGGUGAUGCUCUCUGCACACUCCGAUUGAAGAUUUGAAGACCUGAUGGACCGUGCGUGUUAGGAGGGGGCAGGUGCAAGGUACAAGCGAAGAAGAAGCUGGUGAAGAGCUAAUAAAGAAAAGAGCGGUUUUAACUCCCAAGAAAGUGGAGCAUUCAAGAGAUGAAUCAAGAACGAAAUCAGGAAAUAGCAAACAGAUCAUCAGCGAGGGGACUGCAAUGGCUCUGAACUCAGUACCCUGAAGCUGAGGUUUAAGGAGAGGCUUCGAGCAGAAGCCAGGCUGUGAAGAUUGCAGUAGAGAGAAUACA